rnacentral:rRNA from 1 species
GGGGAAUUUUGCGCAAUGGGCGCAAGCCUGACGACGCAACGCCGCGUGGAGGACGAAGAUCUUCGGGUCGUAAACUCCUUUCGAUCGGGAAGAACGCCUCUGGUGUGAAUAUCGCCAGAGGGUGACGGUACCGAGAGAAGAAGCCCCGGCUAACUCUGUGCCAGCAGCCGCGGUAAUACGUAGGGGGCAAGCGUUGUCCGGAUUUAUUGGGCGUAAAGAGCGUGUAGGCGGCCAGACAGGUCCGUUGUGAAAACUCGAGGCUCAACCUCGAGACGCCGAUGGAAACCGUCUGGCUAGAGUCCGGAAGAGGAGAGUGGAAUUCCUGGUGUAGCGGUGAAAUGCGCAGAUAUCAGGAAGAACACCCGUGGCUAAGGCGGCUCUCUAGUACGGUACUGACGCUGAGACGCGAAAGCGUGGGGAGCGAAC